GUCCAGCCCACCCAAGGUCUUAAGCAGCCCAGCACUUGGUAUUUGGAAAGUUUGCAGUGACCACUUCAUCUGAACAAGCGGCAUCCUCAAGUUCAGUUAAAUGAAGACUGAUGGAUGGCCCCGGAGAUCCCUGGCUUCCUCCCUCUGCUUCCUCAGAUAAUCCAGCUCUCCACAACUCCUUCUGCAAUGCUGUCCCUCCCUGAUUCCCGGAUUCUCAGCUGCACAAAGAGCUCUGCGUUCCUCCCUGCCUGCUCCUCAGAAGGUGGCAAAAAUGGCUAUUCCAGUAAAAGUAUAUUAAUUGUGCAAUUAAAAAAGAGAUGCAGAAUUGCAGCUGGAGGAAGUCGACCAAGGAAUGCCAAAUUCCCAGCUUCCCGAAGAGGUAAAGCUUAACCCUGUGCUGGUUUGCUGGUCGCCAGCCGCUUGCUCACUCCACCCAAGUGGAGGUUCAACGCUCUUGCAUUCAACACUGGGGCAUCACGAGGGGGUGGCCGCCUUCUCCUCGCUGGAUGCUGUGGCCUUUUCAAACCCCUGCCUGCUCCCUAGUGGUUCCUUCUUCAGCCUGAGCCAUGCCAGACACUCCGCAUUCACCAGAAUCACAGCUCCUCCUCUCAAGCGGAGAGGGAGGGGACGCCGAGCGGCUGCUGUCCUUCUGCACCGUCCUCGGGCUUCGCCAAACCACAGCCGGUGACUCUGAAUGAAAACAGGGAAGUCCUAGCCUCUGUUCUACCCUGUGGUCCUCACUCCCUUCCCUGCUGCCCAGCAUGCCUCAACCCAUCGAAAGCAACAAGGACAUGUCAGCUGUGGCUUCAACCACUGGCGCACAGCCAAAGAAGCAAGAGCUGCGAACAUCCUCCCUCAUCAGACAAGAAUUUCCCUCCUGCAGGAGGAAAAGUCCUGGCAUUGUCACUGGGCAGCGCUGGUCCUUGUCCACAGAGCAACUCAGACAGUUCCUGAAGUCUUGGGGUGAUCUGACACCUAGGCCUAGGUCACAUCAGGAUGGAUGGAUCCUUGGACAAGAGGGAGAACCCUCACUCCAACCUCCCAGAGAAGUUGAGGACACAUCAAACGUUCCUCAGAGCCUGCACUUCGAGGUCCUCUCUGCACAAGCUCCUCCUCUUUUGACCCUGAUCAUCUCAGGAACCACCCCAUCUGCUGGCUUCUGCGUGGGUGUCCUCUGCAGGGCUGACAUGUUCGCUGCCACCCUUCUGGAGGCACACAGCCUGCUUCUCAGAGGACCUCCUUCAGGGAGCCUCGUAUUGCUUCCUCCAACAUCACCAGCUCUGGAACAUGAGUGUACAACAUGA
rnacentral:lncRNA from 1 species